rnacentral:rRNA from 1 species
UACGUAGGUGACAAGCGUUGUCCGGAUUUAUUGGGCGUAAAGAGCUCGUAGGCGGCUCGUUGCGUCGGCUGUGAAAACCCGCAGCUCAACUGUGGGCUUGCAGCCGAUACGGGCGGGCUGGGAUUCGGUAGGGGAGACUGGAAUUCCUGGUGUAGCGGUGAAAUGCGCAGAUAUCAGGAGGAACACCGGUGGCGAAGGCGGGUCUCUGGGCCGAUAUCGACGCUGAGGAGCGAAAGCGUGGGGAGCGAACAGG